rnacentral:tRNA from 1 species
UAUAUUUUAAUGUAUGAAGCAUAAAAAUUUUUGAAGUUUUUUGGAAUGGUUUAAAUCCAUUAUAUAUAA